AUUGAACGCUGGCGGCAUGCCUUACACAUGCAAGUCGAACGGCAGCACGGGAGCAAUCCUGGUGGCGAGUGGCGAACGGGUGAGUAAUAUAUCGGAACGUGCCCAGUCGUGGGGGAUAACGCAGCGAAAGCUGUGCUAAUACCGCAUACGAUCUAAGGAUGAAAGCGGGGGAUCGCAAGACCUCGCGCGAUUGGAGCGGCCGAUAUCAGAUUAGCUAGUUGGUGGGGUAAAGGCCCACCAAGGCGACGAUCUGUAGCUGGUCUGAGAGGACGACCAGCCACAGUGGAACGGAGACACGGUCCAGACUCCUACGGGAGGCAGCAGUGGGGAAUUUUGGACAAUGGGCGCAAGCCUGAUCCAGCAAUGCCGCGUGCAGGAUGAAGGCCUUCGGAUUGUAAACUGCUUUUGUACGGAACGAAACGGCCCUUUCUAAUACAGGGGGCUAAUGACGGUACCGUAAGAAUAAGCACCGGCUAACUACGUGCCAGCAGCCGCCGUAAGAC
rnacentral:rRNA from 1 species